rnacentral:rRNA from 1 species
AUGGGAAACACGCAGGGUGUGGUCGCCGUCCAUUCUGAUUUGUUUCUUGCGCCUAUCUCCUCCCCCUCCCACUCUUUGUUUAUCUGUCCGUCUAUCUUUCACUUCCUUUCCUUGCUGAAUUUCUGUCUGAAUGACCAUGACUCAGAUGAGCAAACAGUAGAUGGAAACCCGUCCAAAUACAAUCUAUUAUUAUAUGCUGCCGCGCUUGAUUUGGAAGAUAAUCGGCUUGCCAGUAUUAAUUUCCUGCUGAUUGAUACACAUAUGAAUACAGAGAAAUUACCAGCCGUACGAGUAUAUUAA